rnacentral:rRNA from 1 species
CAAUAGCGUAUAUUAAAGUUGUUGCAGUUAAAAGCUCGUAGUGUAAUUAGAGUGCCGGAGCGUCGGGUCCGACUUUAACUAGUUGUGCACUCAUUUCGCGUCCGGCCUUUCUCGCGGCGAACGUGCCUGGCAUUAAGUUGUCGGGUUCGGGAGCCGCGUCGUUUACUGUGAAAAAUUAGAGUGUUCAUAGCAGGCUUACGCCGUUGAAUACAUUAGCAUGGAAUAAUAAGAUAGGACUUUGGUGAUCUAUUUUGUUGGUUUGCACACCAAGGUAAUGAUUAAUAGGGGACAGUUGGGGGUAGUUCGUAUUCAAUUGUCAGAGGUGGAAAUUACUUGGAUUUAUUGGAAGGACGAACUACUGCGAAAGACAUUUACCUAAGGA